CAGCAGGUAGCACACUGCCUGACACUCACUGAACAUGAAAUUUUGUUAUUGUAGCAUAGACCCCCCUAUGUUUGUGUUGUCUGUUGCUUGUAUCUGUGCAGAAAUUGGCGAAUAAACUGCAUGUAGUCCUCACUCAGGUCAGCCAUUCUCAACCGGAUCCUUUUUUUGAAAUUGCUCUCUCAAGAAAAGAAGCCACCACAUGAGAGGGCAGUCCUGGAGAGGAUGACUUCACCCCGUCUGUACUGGGCACCUGAGAGCAUUGGGAUGCUGUCUGUGAGAGAGAACUGCAAACUUUCCAAGAAUAUGGAGAUACAGGAGAAAUCUGGUUAUGGCUUGACUAAUAAGGUGGAGGCAGAAACACAAGAUUCCAUUGGAUGCAUCAGUGCUUGAUACUGGAACGGGAAUGGUGUUUUACUGGCUGAACUUGUUGGUCUGAUAGAGAAGGAAAUGAGGGGAACUGGGAGAAAACAAAGAUCUUGAAGAAUAUGGCUUGAGAUCACUAAAAGAACAGGAGGCAAAAUUUGGUUUCUCUAAUAUUUCUGAAAUUGAUUACUCUCCUUCUGCAAUACAGCUUUCUGGAAGUAUUAUAGAGAAAAAAGGUUUAUCUAACAUUAAGUUGAACGUAGAAGACUUUUGGGGGCUUCCCUGGUGGCACAGUGGUUAAGAAUCCACCUGCCAAUGCAGGAGACACGGGUUCAAGCCCUGGUCCAGGAAAAUCCCACAUGCUGCUGAGCAACUAAGCCCGUGCGCCACAACUACUGAGCCUGCGCUCUAGAGCCCGAGGGCCACAACUACUGAACCCGCGUGCCACAACUACUGAAGCCUGUGCUCCUAGAGCCCAUGCUCCACAGCAAGAGAAGCCACCGCAAUGAGAAGCCUGCACACCACAACAAAGAGUAGCCCCCGCUCGCCGCAACUAGAGAAAAGCCCGCGUGCAGCAACGAAGACCCAAUGCAACCAAAAAUUAAUUAAUUAAUUUUUUUUUAAAGUUAUAAAAAAAAGAAGAAGACUUUUUGAAUCCUUCCACAAAGCUGUCUGGAUUUCAUAUUUGUAUUGACAAAGGAACUUUUGAUGCCAUAAGCCUUAAUCCUGACAAUGCAGUUGAGAAGAGGAAGCAACAUGUGAAAUCUCUCUCCAGGGUGAGAGAAUAAACCUGACACAGGAAAUGCAAGUGCAAGUAAAUGUUUAAUUUCUGGGAGAAGGGCCACGACUUUCUUCAGAUGGUCAAAGAGGCCAGCACCCCUAAAAAGUUAAGAGAUCCUGCCUCAGAGAGGCUGAAGAAGGCCUCAGCAGGCUCCCUGGACAGUACAGCUCCUCCCAGGAACACACAGGGGCUCCCUGAAACCAAGACCCAGGACUCAGCUAGCUCUGCACCUCCUUACCUGAGAGCCAAGCCUUCUCCAAAGUGAGGAGAGGACUCAACACUACAAAAUGGUCCCACUGCAUGCAGGAUCUUCCCUGACCAGGGAUUGAACCCGCACCCCUGCGGUGGAAGCACAGAGUCUUAACCACUGGACCGCCAGAGAAGUCCCUGGCCCAUCCUCUUGAUGGAGGGUCAAGCUGCACUGCCCUGUCAUGGCCCAAACCGCUCCCGCAGCCCCUUCCCUGGGCAGGUAGGGGACCCUCCCAGAAAGGCCUGACCGAUCCUUCUUUAGCCAGGAUCCCAGAUUCCCCACCUAUUCUGAUGCUGCUUCCUCACCAGGACAACUCAAACUGCCGCCUGACCCAAGGUCCUGACCAAGUCCUGGGCUGGUGAUGAGGCGUGGCUAUGGGGCAGUGGGUGAAUGGGGUGAGGCAGGUAUGAGGGGAAGUGGGGUUACUCCUCCUGGGAGGGCUGGGAUUGGUGGUGUGCCUCCUGGCCUGGCCCCCCUCCCCAGUGACGCUCCAGACCAAAUUUCCCCAGGGGAAGGGCCACAACCAUAUCUUCUCUUCAAGACCCGAAGAUGGGAAGUGAGCUGCUCAUGCCAUAGGCAAAGACCUUCCUGCCCUCUGAGGUUGGCUGCCCUGAUCCCGAGGCCCCAUAUCUGGGGUUGGAAUUUCCAGUUCUUCAAACCUGUCUGUUCAGCCCUUCAAACCUGUUGCUGACUUGCUACGUGACCUUGGGCAAGUCACUUCCCCUCUCUGGGCCUCAGAAUCCUCACCAAUAGAAUGAAUGAUCCAAUAUGCCCACCCACUAGGACAUUCCAAAACUAUGAAAUGUUCAUAGCCAUGUGAUUUUACAUAAUCAGAGAUGCAUUCCUUUAAUCUGACAAAAAUGUAAAUGGCCCUGGUAAAUGACUCAGCAGUCCUCAACCCUGGCCUGUACACCCACAUCACUUGGGAUGGGAAGGGAGAGGUCCCACCCAGACCCACAGAAUCGAGUCUCUGGGCCUCUAGACCUCUGGGUGGGCAGGACCUGGAGAUUUGCAUUUGUUACGAGGCUGCCUAGGAGAGGAUUUCAGACUUUAGAAGGCAGAGUGAGGGGAGAACACAGACUCUACCUACACCAAUACCUGACAAAGUGAGCAACAACGACAAAUUAUGAAAAGAAUGAGCCGGCACACUAAGAAGACAAUCUCCAGAGCAGUGGCCUCCAGGGCCCUCCGUCCUCAUGAAUCCUGGGCUGCCUGGGACAUGGGAGUAGGACACAGGCCUGGCUGGGCAGAGGGUGUCUGGGAUGCAGGGUAUGUGAGGGAUGGCAGGAAACAGAAGACCUGUGCCCCCAGCAAGGGUGCCCUCGGUUGGGGGAGUCUCCCCCAACCCCUGCAUAUUUGGGCUCCCAAAAAGCAGACUAAAAACAACACAGCUCUCGAAACCGUCCUUCUGGGGGAAGGCAGCCUGGUUCCCGUGUGAGAAGUGGUGGAGUUGCUCCACCAACUCUGCAGGAGUUGCUCAAAUUAACUGAGCAAGAUGAAAAGAACUCGCAAGGCCACCCUGCCAACUGCCAGGAAGGGGAAGGAAAUCUCAUGAGGGCACGGCUGGAAGGAGAUGGGGCUGAGGAUCAAAGGCAGCUUCCCUGAAACUAAUAGCUUCAGGAGAGAGAAAAGUUAAUGAGAAGAUGAGUCGGAUAUAAAAAGAGCACAGAGGAGAGAUGAUUAAAAAAUAGCAUCAGGGGCUUCCCUGGUGGCGCAGUGGUUAAGAAUCCACCUGCCAAUGCAGAGGACAUGGGUUCGAGCCCUGGUCCAGGAAGAUCCCACAUGCCACGGAGCAGCUAAGCCCUUGCGCCACAACUACUGAGCCUGCGCUCUAGAGCCCGCGAGCCACAACUACUGAAGCCUGCGCGCCUAGAGCCCGUGCUCCGCAACAAGAGAAGCCACCUCAGUGAGAAGCCCGCGCGCCACAACGAAGAGUAGCCCCCGCUCACCACAAGUAGAGAAAGCCCGCGCGCAGCAACAAAGACCCAACGCAGCCAAAAAUAAACAAAUUAAUUAAUUUAAAAAAUAUAUAUAUAUAGCAUCGGGAGUUGCAAAGAGAGCUUGAGGAAAGGACACACACUGAGGACCCAAGCAGGACCACUGCACAUCUAAAAACUGAGUUACAACACAGAGCCCAGGUCUGAAAAGCAAAUUCAUGGCACAGAGAGAAACUUGAACUAGUCACAGUGAAUUCAGAGAAAGAGGACACAUAAAUUCAAACAACUAAAGAGAAGAUGAUCAUUGUGGAACACAGACCUUCCCACCUCAGAGGGCUUGGAGUCCCUGAAGUAGAUUAUCCAACAGCUAAAGCAAAAGGAUGUUUAGAGAAACUCUCCCUGAAACAAAGGGAGAACCCACUGUGUUGAUUGAAAGAGUACAAGAGGGAUUCAGACUGAUGGACACCGGGAGCACACUGAAUCCCGUGGAGUUGCUGGACUUUAAGGAUAAAGAAAACAACCCUUCAGGCACGCAUGAGGAAAAGCCAAGUCAACAACGAGGGGAGAGAAAAAUCAAUCUGACCUCAUGAAAGGAAAAUAAAAAUGGAGUCAGUAUUGCUAAGGGAGCUCUCUAAAAUGGAGCCGGAGGCCACUGAGGGAGUGUGACUUAAGCACGCCUCAGCCCAGAUGGAAUCUUCUUGUGUUAACACAGACAUCCAGAACAUCUGUCCAAUGUCCCAGAAACUCCAGAUACUUAUUGGACCCUUACCCUCAAAUAACUCAUGACAGCCAGUACCUUAAGGACAAAUAUUUCCUUUCUUGCGUCAGUACAGCCUCGUGGCUUUUCCCUUUACAAGCCCCUGACUCUUCCUCUUCCCUGGAGCACUCUUUUGGUUUUACCCAAGUGUGUGUCUCCUGACUUAAAAUCCUUAAGACCCCAAAUAAACUCUU